GACAGAGGGUGCAAACGUUGUUCGGAAUUACUGGGCGUAAAGCGUGUGUAGGCGGUCUGCUAAGUCGGGUGUGAAAGCCCUGGGCUCAAACCCCAGGAAGUGCAUUCGAAAACUGACGGUCUUGAGUAUGGAAGAGGGUCGCGGAAUUCCCGGUGUAGAGGUGAAAUUCGUAGAUAUCGGGAGGAACACCAGUGGCGAAGGCGGCGACCUGGGCCAAUACUGGACGCUGAGGUGCGAAAGCGUGGGUAUCAAACAGG
rnacentral:rRNA from 1 species